UUAAGCCGUGGCUGCCUGCUACUCGUCGCCUGAGUGUUGAGCCUAUGUGGUAUCAGUAACCUUGAUGUCCAUCGAUCCCUUAACUAUUCCUCGAGCGCUUGGAGCCUUUUGGAUUACCUGUCUGGAAUUCUACGUACACUCCUGGACUGAGCAAUCUUCACCUUUUACUGGAUCUGUGCUACAUUACGACAAGCGUACUUCUCCUGCAGACCUGUCCACCCUCCUACGUAACUCCUGCUUCACCUUCCGCUCGCUUUCCACAGAAAGCACGUUUCGCUGUGAGCUCUACUUCAGUUCUCCUAAACCCCGUCUCCCCUGGCGGAUUCCGUUCACUCUCUAUUGGAGAGACCAGAUCCCUGUCAUCCCUGUGUAGAAUUUAGAAAUAAUAAACUUCUUUUCACCGUU